rnacentral:misc_RNA from 1 species
GAUGAAGAACGUAGCGAAAUGCGAUAAGUAAUGUGAAUUGCAGAAUUCAGUGAAUCAUCGAAUCUUUGAACGCACAUUGCGCCCGCCAGUAUUCUGGCGGGCAUGCUUGUUCGAGCGUCAUUUCAACCCUCAAGCCCCCGGGCUUGGUGUUGGGGAUCGGCGUGCCCUCGCGGCGCGCCGUCCCCUAAAUCUAGUGGCGGUCUCGCUGUAGCUUCCUCUGCGUAGUAGCAACACUCGCACUGGAUCGCAGCGCGGCCACGCCGUUAAACCCCCCACUUCUGAAAGUUUGACCUCGGAUCAGGUAGGAAUACCCGCUGAACUUAAGCAUAUCAAUAAGCGGAGGA